GCCAGGUGUGGUGGUGCAUGCCUGUAAUCCCAGCAGCUUGGGAAGCUGAGGCAGGAGGAUCAUGAGUUCAAAGCCAGCUUCAGCAAAAGCAAGGCAUUAAGAAACUCAGUGAGACCCUGUCUCAA
rnacentral:sRNA from 1 species